GUGCUUACUUCAGGAGUAUAUUUACUAAAAUUGGAACAAUAUAGAGAAAAUUAUCUUGUCUGCUCUUCAAGGAUGGCAUGCAAAUAUGUGAAUCUUUCUCUAUAAUU
rnacentral:snRNA from 1 species